rnacentral:rRNA from 1 species
CAGCCGCCGCGGUAAUACGGGGGGGGCAAGUGUUAUUCGGAAUGACUGGGCGUAAAGGGCACGUAGGCGGUGAAAAGGGUGGAAAGUGAAAGUCGCCAAAACACUGGCGGGGUGCUUUCUUGACCAUUUCACUUGAGUGAGAUAGGGGAGAGUGGAAUUUCGUGUGGAGGGAUCAAAUCCUAAGAUAUACGAAGGAACGCCAACCGCGAAGGCAGCUCUCUGGGUCCCCACUGACGCUGGGGUGCGAAAGCAUGGGGAGCAAACAGGAUCAGAUACCCCUGUAGUCCCUGUCUCUUAUACC